rnacentral:rRNA from 1 species
ACGACUCUCGGCAACGGAUAUCUCGGCUCCCGCAUCGAUGAAGAACGUAGCGAAAUGCGAUACCUGGUGUGAAUUGCAGAAUCCCGCGAACCAUCGAGUCUUUGAACGCAAGUUGCGCCCGAGGCCACUCGGCCGAGGGCACGCCUGCCUGGGCGUCACGC